AGUAGGAUAAUCUGAAAGCAUUUUGCACUUUCAGGUCAUCCUACUUGUUUAAUUUAUACUAGUUUGACAACCUGAAAGCAUUUUGCACCUUCAGGUCAUCCUACCUGUUUAACUUAUACUAGUAGAACAAUCUGAAAGCAUUUUGCACGUUCAGGUCAUCCUACCUGUUUAAUUUAUACUAGUAGGACAAUCUGAAAUCAUUUUGCACCUUCAGGUCAUCCUACCUGUUUAAUUUAUAGUAAUAGGACAAUCUGACAGCAUUUGGUACAGUCAGGUUAUCCUCCAUGUUUAUUUAUACUAGUAGGACAACCCGACAGCAUUUGGUACAGUCAGGUUAUCCUUCAUGUUUAAUUAUACUAGUAGGGCAAUCUGAAAGCAUUGUGCAUCUUAAGGUCAUCCUACCUGUUUAAUUUAAACUAGUAAGACAACCUGAAAGCAUUUUGCACCUUCAGGUCAUCCUACCUGUUUAAUUUAAACUAGUAGGACAACCGGAAAGCAUUUGGCAUCUUCAGAUCAUCGUACCUGUUUAAUUUAAACUAGUAGGACAACCUGACAGCAUUUUGCACCUUCAGGUCAUCCUACCUGUUUAAUUUAUACUAAUAGCACAAUCGUGGGCAGUGGGCAGAUGCCUCUCAUCUGCACGGGAAAUGAACGACCCCGCCUUCCACGAGUUUCCGGCUGCCUUGCAGGUUGGCCUUGUCUGGUCAAAGGCUAUGGGAGUAAACCCAAAUAGAAAAUCCGGUACGGAGACCCUUAUACUAGUAGGACAAUCUGACAGCAUUUUGUACAGUCAGGUCAUCCUACCUCUUUAAUUUACACUAGUAGGACAACCUGACAGCACAUUGUACAGUCAGGUCAUCCUAGCUGUUUAAGGUAUACUAGUAGGACAACCCGACAGCAUUUGGUAAAGUCAGGUUAUCCUCCAUGUUUAAUCUAUACUAGUAGGACAAUCUGAAAGCAUUUUGCACCUUCAGGUCAUCCUACCUGUUUAAUUUAAACUAGUAGGACAACCUGAAAGCAUUUUGCACCUUCAGGUCAUCCUCCCUGUUUAAUUUAAACAAGCAGUUAAAUAGCGGAUGAUAUAGAUCUGCAGAAGAUGAUUGGUUGAGGAACACAGGUAAUCUCCGCACAUACACUUCUUUAAUGUCCCAGAUAUAACAAGAUGGUUAACUUUACUUUCCUUGUAGGUAAACAGAUGAUGACGACGACAGACUACCACACCUUCAGGGUCUUACUAAACUGGGUGAAUGGUUAUGGUAGGACAAAUGAUGCAGUGUGUAUAUGAAUCUAUUGUCUGUAGUGUAACAUAUUGUGUAGAUUAUUUGUUGUAGUAAAAAAUAAAGUUGUCCUCCGAAGAGGGGGGGUGGUGGCGGGCCAAAAAAGUAGGAUAAUCUGAAAGCAUUUUGCACUUUCAGGUCAUCCUACUUGUUUAAUUUAUACUAGUUUGACAACCUGAAAGCAUUUUGCACCUUCAGGUCAUCCUACCUGUUUAACUUAUACUAGUAGAACAAUCUGAAAGCAUUUUGCACGUUCAGGUCAUCCUACCUGUUUAAUUUAUACUAGUAGGACAAUCUGAAAUCAUUUUGCACCUUCAGGUCAUCCUACCUGUUUAAUUUAUAGUAAUAGGACAAUCUGACAGCAUUUGGUACAGUCAGGUUAUCCUCCAUGUUUAACUUAUACUAAUAGGACAAUCUGAAAACAUUUUGCACCUUCAGGUCAUCCUACCUGUUUAAUUUAAACUAGUAGGACAACCGGAAAGCAUUUUGCCCCUUCAGGUCAUCCUACCUGUUUAAUUUAAACUAGUAGGACAACCUGAAAGCAUUUUGCACCUUCAGGUCAUCCUACCUGUUUAAUUUAAACUAGUAGGACAAUCUGAAAGCAUUUUGCACCUUCAGGUCAUCCUACCUGUUUAAUUUAAACUAGUAGGACAACCUGAAAGCAUUUUGCACCUUCAGGUCAUCCUACCUGUUUAAUUUAAACUAGUAGGACAAUCUGAAAGCAUUUGGUACAGUCAGGUUAUCCUCCAUGUUUAAUUUAUACUAGUAGGACAAUCUGAAAGCAUUUUGCACCUUCAGGUCAUCCUACCUGUUUAAUUUAAACUAGUAGGACAACCUGAAAUCAUUUUGUACCUUCAGGUCAUCCUACCUGUUUAAUUAAUAGUAAUAGGACAAUCUGACAGCAUUUGGUACAGUCAGGUUAUCCUUCAUGUUUAACUUAUACUAAUAGGACAAUCUGAAAACAUUUUGCACCUUCAGGUCAUCCUACCUGUUUAAUUUAAACUAGUAGGACAACCGGAAAUCAUUUUGCACCUUCAGGACAUCGUUCAUGUUUAAUUUAUACUAGUAGGACAAUCUGACAGCAUUUGGUACAGUCAGGUUAUCCCACAUGUUUAAUUUAUACUAAUAGCACAAUCGUGGGCAGUGGGCAGAUGCCUCUAAUCUGCACGGGAAAUGAACGACCCCGCCUUCCAUGAGUUUCCUGCUGCCUUGCAGGUUGGCCUUGUCUGGUCAAAGGCUAUGGGAGUAAAUCCAAAUAGAAAAUCCGGUACGGAGACCCUUAUACUAGUAGGACAAUCUGACAGGAUUUUGUACAGUCAGGUCAUCCUACCUCUUUAAUUUAGACUAGUAGGACAACCUGACAGCAUAUUGUACAGUCAGGUCAUCCUAGCUGUUUAAUUUAUACUAGUAGGACAACCCGGCAGCAUUUGGUAUAGUCAGGUUAUCCUCCAUGUUUAAUUUAUACUAGUAGGACAAUCUGAAAGCAUUUUGCACAUUCAGGUCAUCCUACAUUUGAAAUCUAUACUAGUAGGACAAUCUGAAAGCAUUUUGCACCUUCAGGUCAUCCAACCUGUUUAAUUUAAACUAGUAGGACAACCUGAAAGCAUUUUGCACUUUCAGGUCAUCCUACCUGUUUAAUUUAUAGUAAUAGGACAAUCUGAAAACAUUUUGCACCUUCAGGUCAUCCUACCUGUUUAAUUUAAACUAGUAGGACAACCGGAAAGCAUUUUGCCCCUUCAGGUCAUCCUACCUGUUUAAUUUAAACUAGUAGGACAACCUGAAAGCAUUUUGCAUCUUCAGGUCAUCGUACCUGUUUAAUUUAAACUAGUAGGACAAUCUGAAAGCAUUUUGCACCUUCAGGUCAUCCUACCUGUUUAAUUUAAACUAGUAGGACAACCGGAAAGCAUUUUGCCCCUUCAGGUCAUCCUACCUGUUUAAUUCAAACUAGUAGGACAAUCUGAAAGCAUUUUUCACCUUCAGGUCAUCCUACCUGUUUAAUUUAUAGUAAUAGGACAAUCUGACAGCAUUUGGUACAGUCAGGUUAUCCUCCAUGUUUAACUUAUACUAGUAGGACGAUCUGAAAGCAUUUUGCACCUUCAGGUCAUCCUACCUGUUUAAUUCAAACUAGUAGGACAAUCUGAAAGCAUUUUGCACCUUCAGGUCAUCCUACAUUUUAAAUCUAUACUAGUAGGAGAACCUGAAAGCAUUUUGCACCUUCAGGUCAUCCUACCUGUUUAAUUUAUAGUAAUAGGACAAUCUGACAGCAUUUGGUACAGUCAGGUUAUCCUCCAUGUUUAACUUAUACUAGUAGGACAAUCUGAAAGCAUUUUGCACUUUCAGGUCAUCCUACCCGUUUAACUUAUACUAGUAGGACAAUCUGAAAGCAUUUUGCACCUUCAGGUCAUCCUACCUGUUUAAUUUAACCAAGCAGUUAAACAGCGGAUGAUAUAGAUCUGCAGAAGAUGAUUGGUUGAUGAACACAGGUAAUCUCCGCACAUACACUUCUUUAAUGUCCCAGAUAUAACAAGACGAUUAACUUUACUUUCCUUGUAGGUAAACAGAUGAUGACGACGACAGACUACCACACCUUCAGGUCAUCCUACCUCUUCAAUUUAUACUAGUAGGACAAUCUAACAGCAUUUUGCACCUUCAGGUCAUCCUACUUGUUUAAUUUAUACUAGUAGGACAAUCUGAAAGCAUUUGGUACAGUCAGGUUAUCCUCCAUGUUUAAUUUAUACUAGUAGGACAAUCUGAAAGCAUUUUGCACCUUCAGGUCAUCCUACCUGUUUAAUUUAAACUAGUAGGACAACCUGAAAUAAUUUUGUACCUUCAGGUCAUCCUACCUGUUUAAUUAAUAGUAAUAGGACAAUCUGACAGCAUUUGGUACAGUCAGGUUAUCCUUCAUGUUUAACUUAUACUAAUAGGACAAUCUGAAAACAUUUUGCACCUUCAGGUCAUCCUCCAUGUUUAAUUUAUACUAGUAGGACAAUCUGAAAGCAUUUUGCACCUUCAGGUCAUCCUACCUGUUUAAUUUAAACUAGUAGGACAACCGGAAAUCAUUUUGCACUUUCAGGUCAUCGUACCUGUUUAAUUUAAACUAGUAGGACAAACUGAAAGCAUUUUGCACCUUCAGGACAUCGUUUAUGUUUAAUUUAUACUAGUAGCACAAUCGUGGGCAGUGGGCAGAUGCCUCUAAUCUGCACGGGAAAUGAACGACCCCGCCUUCCAUGAGUUUCCUGCUGCCUUGCAGGUUGGCCUUGUCUGGUCAAAGGCUAUGGGAGUAAAUCCAAAUAGAAAAUCCGGUACGGAGACCCAUAUACUAGUAGGACAAUCUGACAGGAUUUUGUACAGUCAGGUCAUCCUACCUCUUUAAUUUAGACUAGUAGGACAACCUGACAGCACAUUUGGUAUAGUCAGGUUAUCCUCCAUGUUUAAUUUAUACUAGUAGGACAAUCUGAAAGCAUUUUGCACAUUCAGGUCAUCCUACAUUUGAAAUCUAUACUAGUAGGACAAUCUGAAAGCAUUUUGCACCUUCAGGUCAUCCAACCUGUUUAAUUUAAACUAGUAGGACAACCUGAAAGCAUUUUGCACUUUCAGGUCAUCCUACCUGUUUAAUUUAUAGUAAUAGGACAAUCUGAAAACAUUUUGCACCUUCAGGUCAUCCUACCUGUUUAAUUUAAACUAGUAGGACAACCGGAAAGCAUUUUGCAUCUUCAGGUCAUCGUACCUGUUUAAUUUAAACUAGUAGGACAAUCUGAAAGCAUUUUGCACCUUCAGGUCAUCCUACCUGUUUAAUUUAAACUAGUAGGACAACCGGAAAGCAUUUUGCCCCUUCAGGUCAUCCUACCUGUUUAAUUUAAACUAGUAGGACAACCUGAAAGCAUUUUGCACCUUCAGGUCAUCCUACCUGUUUAAUUUAAACUAGUAGGACAACCUGAAAUCAUUUUGCACCUUCAGGUCAUCCUACCUGUUUAAUUUAAACUAGUAGGACAACCGGAAAGCAUUUUGCACCUUCAGGUCAUCCUACCUGUUUAAUUUAAACUAGUGGGACAAUCUGACAGCAUUUGGUACAGUCAGAUUAUCCUCCAUGUUUAUUUAUACUAGUAGGACAACCCGACAGCAUUUGGUACAGUCAGGUUAUCCUCCACAUUUAUUUAUACUAGUAGGACAACCCGACAGCAUUUGGUACAGUCAGGUUAUCCUUCAUGUUUAAUUAUACUAGUAGGGCAAUCUGAAAGCAUUGUGCAUCUUAAGGUCAUCCUACCUGUUUAAUUUAAACUAGUAAGACAACCUGAAAGCAUUUUGCACCUUCAGGUCAUCCUACCUGUUUAAUUUAAACUAGUAGGACAACCGGAAAGCAUUUUGCAUCUUCAGAUCAUCGUACCUGUUUAAUUUAAACUAGUAGGACAACCUGACAGCAUUUUGCACCUUCAGGUCAUCCUACCUGUUUAAUUUAUACUAAUAGCACAAUCGUGGGCAGUGGGCAGAUGCCUCUCAUCUGCACGGGAAAUGAACGACCCCGCCUUCCACGAGUUUCCUGCUGCCUUGCAGGUUGGCCUUGUCUGGUCAAAGGCUAUGGGAGUAAACCCAAAUAGAAAAUCCGGUACGGAGACCCUUAUACUAGUAGGACAAUCUGACAGCAUUUUGUACAGUCAGGUCAUCCUACCUCUUUAAUUUACACUAGUAGGACAACCUGACAGCACAUUGUACAGUCAGGUCAUCCUAGCUGUUUAAGGUAUACUAGUAGGACAACCCGACAGCAUUUGGUAAAGUCAGGUUAUCCUCCAUGUUUAAUCUAUACGAGUAGGACAAUCUGAAAGCAUUUUGCACCUUCAGGUCAUCCUACCUGUUUAAUUUAAACUAGUAGGACAACCUGAAAGCAUUUUGUACCUUCAGGUCAUCCUCCCUGUUUAAUUUAAACAAGCAGUUAAAUAGCGGAUGAUAUAGAUCUGCAGAAGAUGAUUGGUUGAGGAACACAGGUAAUCUCCGCACAUACACUUCUUUAAUGUCCCAGAUAUAACAAGAUGGUUAACUUUACUUUCCUUGUAGGUAAACAGAUGAUGACGACGACAGACUACCACACCUUCAGGUUAUCCUACCUCUUCAAUUUAUACUAGGUCUUACUAAACUGGGUGAAUGGUUAUGGUAGGACAAAUGAUGCAGUGUGUAUAUGAAUCUAUUGUCUGUAGUGUAACAUAUUGUGUAGAUUAUUUGUUGUAGUAAAAAAUAAAGUUGUCCUCCGAAGAGGGGGGGUGGUGGCGGGCCAAAAAAGUAGGAUAAUCUGAAAGCAUUUUGCACUUUCAGGUCAUCCUACUUGUUUAAUUUAUACUAGUUUGACAACCUGAAAGCAUUUUGCACCUUCAGGUCAUCCUACCUGUUUAACUUAUACUAGUAGAACAAUCUGAAAGCAUUUUGCACGUUCAGGUCAUCCUACCUGUUUAAUUUAUACUAGUAGGACAAUCUGAAAUCAUUUUGCACCUUCAGGUCAUCCUACCUGUUUAAUUUAUAGUAAUAGGACAAUCUGACAGCAUUUGGUACAGUCAGGUUAUCCUCCAUGUUUAACUUAUACUAAUAGGACAAUCUGAAAACAUUUUGCACCUUCAGGUCAUCCUACCUGUUUAAUUUAAACUAGUAGGACAACCGGAAAGCAUUUUGCCCCUUCAGGUCAUCCUACCUGUUUAAUUUAAACUAGUAGGACAACCUGAAAGCAUUUUGCACCUUCAGGUCAUCCUACCUGUUUAAUUUAAACUAGUAGGACAACCGGAAAGCAUUUUGCAUCUUCAGGUCAUCGUACCUGUUUAAUUUAAACUAGUAGGACAAUCUGAAAGCAUUUUGCACCUUCAGGUCAUCCUACCUGUUUAAUUUAAACUAGUAGGACAACCGAAAGCAUUUUGCCCCUUCAGGUCAUCCUACCUGUUUAAUUUAAACUAGUAGGAAAACCUGAAAGCAUUUUGCACCUUCAAGUCAUCCUACCUGUUUAAUUUAAACUAGUAGGACAACCUGAAAGCAUUUUGCACCUUCAGGUCAUUCUACCUGUUUAAUUUAAACUAGUAGGACAACCGGAAAGCAUUUUGCACCUUCAGGUCAUCGUACCUGUUUAAUUUAAACUGCUAGGACAACCUGAAAGCAUUUUUCACCUUCAGGUCAUCCUACCUGUUUAAUUUAAACUAGUGGGACAAUCUGACAGCAUUUGGUACAGUCAGAUUAUCCUCCAUGUUUAUUUAUACUAGUAGGACCACCCGACAGCAUUUGGUACAGUCAGGUUAUCCUUCAUGUUUAAUUAUACUAGUAGGGCAAUCUGAAAGCAUUGUGCAUCUUAAGGUCAUCCUACCUGUUUAAUUUAAACUAGUAAGACAACCUGAAAGCAUUUUGCACCUUCAGGUCAUCCUACCUGUUUAAUUUAAACUAGUAGGACAACCGGAAAGCAUUUUGCACCUUCAGGACAUCCUUCAUGUUUAAUUUAUACUAGUAGGACAAUCUGACAGCAUUUGGUACAGUCAGGUUAUCCCACAUGUUUAAUUUAUACUAAUAGCACAAUCGUGGGCAGUGGGCAGAUGCCUCCCAUCUGCACGGGAAAUGAAUGACCCCGCCUUCCAUGAGUUUCCUGCUGCCUUGCAGGUUGGCCUUGUCUGGUCAAAGGCUAUGGGAGUAAACCCAAAUAGAAAAUCCGGUACGGAGACCCUUAUACUAGUAGGACAAUCUGACAGCAUUUUGUACACUCAGGUCAUCCUACCUCUUUAAUUUACACUAGUAGGAAAACCUGACAGCAUAUUGUACAGUCAGGUCAUCCUAGCUGUUUAAGUUAUACUAGUAGGACAAUCUGAAAGCAUUUUGCACCUUCAGGUCAUCCUACCUGUUUAAUUCAAACUAGUAGGACAACCUGAAAGCAUUUUGCACCUUCAGGUCAUCCUACCUGUUUAAUUCAAACUAGUAGGACAACCUGAAAGCAUUUUGCACCUUCAGGUCAUCCUACCUGUUUAAUUUAUAAUAUUAGGACAAUCUGAAAGCAUUUUUUACUUUCAGGUCAUCCUACCUGUUUAAUUUAUACUAGUGGGACAAACGGUAACACUUUACAAUAAGGGUGCACAAAUAAUCAUGAACUCAUGCUUAACUAAUGCACAGAUAAUACUGAAUUAAUGUAUUACUAAUGAUUAUUUAAGCUAUUCAUUAUUCAUUAAUGAUUGCCUCAUUAGCAACUAAUGAAGAGUCUGU